UUUUCAUACAAUUCAUAGGAAAUUGAAAUGCACUGUUGCUGGUAUCUCAUUUAAUCAUAUUUUCUAAGCAUCCCAACUAUAUUUAAGUUUGUCUCUGCAUAUUUUGGCAUAGGCUACCGAGACCCUGCAUUGGCUAGUGCCUCAUGGACCGGCCACCAUAUGAAGAUCAAUUAAUUAUUGUCUAUGGAACACAUUCAAAUAUGCAGUUGGACAGCAAGUUGGAGCAGAAUUUGUAAAAGGAGCUGAGAUUUGGAAUUAGAAAAGGUCUGUAUGAACAUUAAGUCAAUUAAAAUCCAUUACUUUUAGAAAAAACAAGUGGGAAAUCAUGGAAACCAAUAAAACUGUACCAUAACCUACUGAAAAUCUACCUACUUUAGUUUUGGUGGAACCGAUAGAAAA